rnacentral:rRNA from 1 species
AGCGGAUGAAGGAGCUUGCUCCUGGAUUCAGCGGCGGACGGGUGAGUAAUGCCUAGGAAUCUGCCUGGUAGUGGGGGACAACGUUUCGAAAGGAACGCUAAUACCGCAUACGUCCUACGGGAGAAAGCAGGGGACCUUCGGGCCUUGCGCUAUCAGAUGAGCCUAGGUCGGAUUAGCUAGUUGGUGAGGUAAUGGCUCACCAAGGCGACGAUCCGUAACUGGUCUGAGAGGAUGAUCAGUCACACUGGAACUGAGACACGGUCCAGACUCCUACGGGAGGCAGCAGUGGGGAAUAUUGGACAAUGGGCGAAAGCCUGAUCCAGCCAUGCCGCGUGUGUGAAGAAGGUCUUCGGAUUGUAAAGCACUUUAAGUUGGGAGGAAGGGUUGUAGAUUAAUACUCUGCAAUUUUGACGUUACCGACAGAAUAAGCACCGGCUAACUCUGUGCCAGCAGCCGCGGUAAUACAGAGGGUGCAAGCGUUAAUCGGAAUUACUGGGCGUAAAGCGCGCGUAGGUGGUUUGUUAAGUUGGAUGUGAAAUCCCCGGGCUCAACCUGGGAACUGCAUCCAAAACUGGCAAGCUAGAGUAUGGUAGAGGGUGGUGGAAUUUCCUGUGUAGCGGUGAAAUGCGUAGAUAUAGGAA